rnacentral:rRNA from 1 species
UACGGAGGGGGCUAGCGUUGUUCGGAAUUACUGGGCGUAAAGCGCACGUCGGCGGCUUUGCAAGUUAGAGGUGAAAGCCCGGGGCUCAACUCCGGAAUUGCCUUUGAAACUGCAUCGCUAGAAUUGUGGAGAGGUAAGUGGAAUUCCGAGUGUAGAGGUGAAAUUCGUAGAUAUUCGGAAGAACACCAGUGGCGAAGGCGACUCACUGGACACGUAUUGACGCUGAGGUGCGAAAGCGUGGGGAGCAAACAGG